ACGCACGCUGGCGGCGUGCUUAACACAUGCAAGUCGAACGGAAAGGCCCUGCUUUUGUGGGGUGCUCGAGUGGCGAACGGGUGAGUAACACGUGAGUAACCUGCCCUUGACUUUGGGAUAACUUCAGGAAACUGGGGCUAAUACUGGAUAGGAGCUCCUGCUGCAUGGUGGGGGUUGGAAAGUUUCGGCGGUUGGGGAUGGACUCGCGGCUUAUCAGCUUGUUGGUGGGGUAGUGGCUUACCAAGGCUUUGACGGGUAGCCGGCCUGAGAGGGUGACCGGCCACAUUGGGACUGAGAUACGGCCCAGACUCCUACGGGAGGCAGCAGUGGGGAAUAUUGCACAAUGGGCGGAAGCCUGAUGCAGCAACUCCGCGUGCGGGAUGACGGCCUUCGGGUUGUAAACCGCUUUCGCCUGUGACGAAGCGUGAGUGACGGUAAUGGGUAAAGAAGCACCGGCUAACUACGUG
rnacentral:rRNA from 1 species